rnacentral:rRNA from 1 species
CCUACGGGUGGCAGCAGUGGGGAAUAUUGCACAAUGGGGGAAACCCUGAUCCAGCGACGCCGCGUGAGCGAAGAAGUAUCUCGGUAUGGAAAGCUUUAUUAGCAGAGAAGCAAAUGACGGUACCUGAGUAAGAAGCUCCGUCUAAAUACGUGCCAGCAGCCGCGGUAAUACGUAUGGAGCAAGCGUUAUCCGGAUUUACUGGGCGUAAAGGGAGCGUAGGCGGCCUGCCAGGUCUGAUGUGAAAUACCGGGGCUCAACCCCGGGGCUGCAGUGGAAACUGGCAGGCUGGAGUGCCGGAGAGGCAGGCGGAAUUCGUGGUGUAGCGGUGAAAUGCGUAGAUAUUACGAGGAACACCAAUGGCGAAGGCAGCCUGCUGGACGGUGACUGACGCUGAGGCUCGAAAGCGUGGGGAGCAAACAGGAUUAGAUACCCUAGUAGUC